GUUAUAUGGUCAAGUGAAGAAGCGCAUACGGUGGAUGCCUUGGCAGUCAGAGGCGAUGAAAGACGUGGUAGCCUGCGAAAAGCUUCGGGAGUCGGCAAACAGACUGUGAUCCGGAGAUGUCUGAAUGGGGAACCCAGCCAUCACAAGAUGGUUAUCUUACGCUGAAUACAUAGGUGUAAGAGGCGAACCAGGGAACUGAAACAUCUAAGUACCCUGAGGAAAAGAAAUCAACCGAGAUUCCCUUAGUAGUGGCGAGCGAACGGGGACCAGCCCUUAAGUUGUAUUGAGAUUAGCGGAACGCUCUGGAAAGUGCGGCCAUAGUGGGUGAUAGCCCUGUACGCGAAAAUCCCUUUGCAAUGAAAUCGAGUAGGACGGGGCACGAGAAACCUUGUCUGAAUAUGGGGGGACCAUCCUCCAAGGCUAAAUACUACUGACUGACCGAUAGUGAACCAGUACCGUGAGGGAAAGGCGAAAAGAACCGCGGAGAGCGGAGUGAAAUAGAUCCUGAAACCGUAUGCGUACAAGCAGUGGGAGCCCACUUUGUUGGGUGACUGCGUACCUUUUGUAUAAUGGGUCAGCGACUUAUUUUCAGUGGCGAGCUUAACCGAAUAGGGGAGGCGUAGCGAAAGCGAGUCUUAAUAGGGCGUCUAGUCGCUGGGAAUAGACCCGAAACCGGGCGAUCUAUCCAUGGGCAGGUUGAAGGUUGGGUAACACUAACUGGAGGACCGAACCGACUACCGUUGAAAAGUUAGCGGAUGACCUGUGGAUCGGAGUGAAAGGCUAAUCAAGCUCGGAGAUAGCUGGUUCUCCUCGAAAGCUAUUUAGGUAGCGCCUCAUGUAUCACUGUAGGGGUAGAGCACUGUUUCGGCUAGGGGUCAUCCCGACUUACCAAACCGAUGCAAACUCCGAAUACCUACAAGUGCCGAGCAUGGGAGACACACGGCGGGUGCUAACGUCCGUCGUGAAAAGGGAAACAACCCAGACCGUCAGCUAAGGUCCCAAAGUCAUGGUUAAGUGGGAAACGAUGUGGGAAGGCUUAGACAGCUAGGAGGUUGGCUUAGAAGCAGCCACCCUUUAAAGAAAGCGUAAUAGCUCACUAGUCGAGUCGGCCUGCGCGGAAGAUGUAACGGGGCUCAAACCAUGCACCGAAGCUACGGGUAUCACCUUUGGUGAUGCGGUAGAGGAGCGUUCUGUAAGCCUGUGAAGGUGAGUUGAGAAGCUUGCUGGAGGUAUCAGAAGUGCGAAUGCUGACAUGAGUAACGACAAUGGGUGUGAAAAACACCCACGCCGAAAGACCAAGGUUUCCUGCGCAACGUUAAUCGACGCAGGGUUAGUCGGUCCCUAAGGCGAGGCUGAAAAGCGUAGUCGAUGGAAAACAGGUUAAUAUUCCUGUACUUCUGGUUAUUGCGAUGGAGGGACGGAGAAGGCUAGGCCAGCCUGGCGUUGGUAGUCCAGGUUUAAGGUGGUAGGCUGAGAUCUUAGGUAAAUCCGGGAUCUUAAGGCCGAGAGCUGAUGACGAGUGUUCUUUUAGAACAUGAAGUGGUUGAUGCCAUGCUUCCAAGAAAAGCUUCUAAGCUUCAGGUAACCAGGAACCGUACCCCAAACCGACACAGGUGGUUGGGUAGAGAAUACCAAGGCGCUUGAGAGAACUCGGGUGAAGGAACUAGGCAAAAUGGCACCGUAACUUCGGGAGAAGGUGCGCCGGUGAGGGUGAAGCAUUUACUGCGUAAGCCCACGCCGGUCGAAGAUACCAGGCCGCUGCGACUGUUUAUUAAAAACACAGCACUCUGCAAACACGAAAGUGGACGUAUAGGGUGUGACGCCUGCCCGGUGCCGGAAGGUUAAUUGAUGGGGUUAGCGCAAGCGAAGCUCUUGAUCGAAGCCCCGGUAAACGGCGGCCGUAACUAUAACGGUCCUAAGGUAGCGAAAUUCCUUGUCGGGUAAGUUCCGACCUGCACGAAUGGCGUAACGAUGGCGGCGCUGUCUCCACCCGAGACUCAGUGAAAUUGAAAUCGCUGUGAAGAUGCAGUGUAUCCGCGGCUAGACGGAAAGACCCGUGAACCUUUACUAUAGCUUUGCACUGGACUUUGAAUUUGCUUGUGUAGGAUAGGUGGGAGGCUUUGAAGCGUGGACGCCAGUCUGCGUGGAGCCAACCUUGAAAUACCACCCUGGCAACUUUGAGGUUCUAACUCAGGUCCGUUAUCCGGAUCGAGGACAGUGUAUGGUGGGUAGUUUGACUGGGGCGGUCUCCUCCUAAAGAGUAACGGAGGAGUACGAAGGUGCGCUCAGACCGGUCGGAAAUCGGUCGUAGAGUAUAAAGGCAAAAGCGCGCUUGACUGCGAGACAGACACGUCGAGCAGGUACGAAAGUAGGUCUUAGUGAUCCGGUGGUUCUGUAUGGAAGGGCCAUCGCUCAACGGAUAAAAGGUACUCCGGGGAUAACAGGCUGAUACCGCCCAAGAGUUCAUAUCGACGGCGGUGUUUGGCACCUCGAUGUCGGCUCAUCACAUCCUGGGGCUGAAGCCGGUCCCAAGGGUAUGGCUGUUCGCCAUUUAAAGUGGUACGCGAGCUGGGUUUAGAACGUCGUGAGACAGUUCGGUCCCUAUCUGCCGUGGACGUUUGAGAUUUGAGAGGGGCUGCUCCUAGUACGAGAGGACCGGAGUGGACGAACCUCUGGUGUUCCGGUUGUCACGCCAGUGGCAUUGCCGGGUAGCUAUGUUCGGAAAAGAUAACCGCUGAAAGCAUCUAAGCGGGAAACUUGCCUCAAGAUGAGAUCUCACUGGAACCUAGAGUUCCCUGAAGGGCCGUCGAAGACUACGACGUUGAUAGGUUGGGUGUGUAAGCGCUGUGAGGCGUUGAGCUAACCAAUACUAAUUGCCCGUGAGGCUUGACCAUAUAACACCCAAGCAAUU
rnacentral:rRNA from 1 species